rnacentral:rRNA from 1 species
UAGAGUUUUGAUCCUGGCUCAGGACGAACGCUGGCGGCGUGCUUAACACAUGCAAGUCGAACGAUGAAGCCUUUCGGGGUGGAUUAGUGGCGAACGGGUGAGUAACACGUGGGCAAUCUGCCCUUCACUCUGGGACAAGCCCUGGAAACGGGGUCUAAUACCGGAUAAUACUUUCUCUCUCAUGGGGGAAGGUUAAAAGCUCCGGCGGUGAAGGAUGAGCCCGCGGCCUAUCAGCUAGUUGGUGGGGUAAUGGCCUACCAAGGCGACGACGGGUAGCCGGCCUGAGAGGGCGACCGGCCACACUGGGACUGAGACACGGCCCAGACUCCUACGGGAGGCAGCAGUGGGGAAUAUUGCACAAUGGGCGAAAGCCUGAUGCAGCGACGCCGCGUGAGGGAUGACGGCCUUCGGGUUGUAAACCUCUUUCAGCAGGGAAGAAGCGAAAGUGACGGUACCUGCAGAAGAAGCGCCGGCUAACUACGUGCCAGCAGCCGCGGUAAUACGUAGGGCGCAAGCGUUGUCCGGAAUUAUUGGGCGUAAAGAGCUCGUAGGCGGCUUGUUGCGUCGGUUGUGAAAGCCCGGGGCUUAACCCCGGGUCUGCAGUCGAUACGGGCAGGCUAGAGUGUGGUAGGGGAGAUCGGAAUUCCUGGUGUAGCGGUGAAAUGCGCAGAUAUCAGGAGGAACACCGGUGGA